rnacentral:rRNA from 1 species
GAUGAACGCUGGCGGCGUGCCUAAUACAUGCAAGUCUAGCGAACAGAUAAGGAGCUUGCUCCUUUGACGUUAGCGGCGGACGGGUGAGUAACACGUGGGUAACCUACCUAUAAGACUGGGAUAACUUCGGGAAACCGGAGCUAAUACCGGAUAACAUUUGGAACCGCAUGGUUCUAAAGUGAAAGAUGGUUUUGCUAUCACUUAUAGAUGGACCCGCGCCGUAUUAGCUAGUUGGUAAGGUAACGGCUUACCAAGGCAACGAUACGUAGCCGACCUGAGAGGGUGAUCGGCCACACUGGAACUGAGACACGGUCCAGACUCCUACGGGAGGCAGCAGUAGGGAAUCUUCCGCAAUGGGCGAAAGCCUGACGGAGCAACGCCGCGUGAGUGAUGAAGGGUUUCGGCUCGUAAAACUCUGUUAUUAGGGAAGAACAAACGUGUAAGUAACUGUGCACGUCUUGACGGUACCUAAUCAGAAAGCCACGGCUAACUACGUG